CAUCAAUACAACUGACUGCAUUGAAUCACUACUAAUGAUCUAGUGGAAGUGGUUUCUUUUCUACUCAGAAGUGCCUUCACGGUGCUCCUAGUAUGAGAACCGGGAACUUCAGAUAAUGCUUGGAAUUUGCGAAGAGAACUUGGCUACCCAAAGGUGAUCAAAGAUCUACUUGAUGCUCAGAGCCACUGGCAUUUUCACCACCUUUGAGCAGAAUGAGCUACCAGAGUGACUCUCCUAGACGGUAUAGCAAAGGAAUCCAGGAUGGCUCUAUAACUAUGAACUAUUUGUGAUGAGAUGAAGUGGAAGAGGACACCAUGCUUCCCUGCCAAAAAAUUGUUUUAAUGACAAUGUAAUCAGAAUUUUUGACAUACAUUGUUCUUUUGUAUUUUUCUCUGCCUGAUGACAUUAGAACCGGAAGAAACAGGGCCGCUAAAACACUGAUUCAGGACUACCAUGACAACUGUCAGACCCAGAUAGCUUUUCUUUGAGAAUUACAGAUUUAUUAUUUGUUGGUCUCAAGGCUUUGUUUUCCUUUUAUCUUGCUUGUACUUUGUUACUAUGCUAACAAUGACUCAUCAGUACCUGUUGUUCCACUUAAAUGCAUCUAUUUGUAAAGUUUUCUCCCUUCAAUAAACAUUUGUGUUUUAUAGCAAAAAUAUUCUUCAAAACCAGCAAACAUCCAACCUACUUUUGCUAUGUAGGGUGUUUCUAUAUUUUA